rnacentral:rRNA from 1 species
UACGAAGGGGGCUAGCGUUGCUCGGAAUCACUGGGCGUAAAGGGCGCGUAGGCGGAUCUUUAAGUCAGGGGUGAAAGCCCAAGGCUCAACCUUGGAAUUGCCUUUGAUACUGAGGAUCUCGAGACCGGAAGAGGUAAGUGGAACUGCGAGUGUAGGGGUGAAAUUCGUAGAUAUUCGCAAGAACACCAGUGGCGAAGGCGGCUUACUGGUCCGGUUCUGACGCUGAGACGCGAAAGCGUGGGGAGCAAACAGG